AACGAACGCUGGCGGCAUGCCUAACACAUGCAAGUCGAACGAGAUCCUUCGGGGUCUAGUGGCGCACGGGUGCAUAACGCGUGGGAAUCUGCCCUUAGGUUCGGAAUAACAGUUAGAAAUGACUGCUAAUACCGGAUGAUGACGUUAAGUCCAAAGAUUUAUCGCCUGAGGAUGAGCCCGCGUAGGAUUAGCUAGUUGGUGUGGUAAAGGCGCACCAAGGCGACGAUCCUUAGCUGGUCUGAGAGGAUGAUCAGCCACACUGGGACUGAGACACGGCCCAGACUCCUACGGGAGGCAGCAGUGGGGAAUAUUGGACAAUGGGCGCAAGCCUGAUCCAGCAAUGCCGCGUGAGUGAUGAAGGCCUUAGGGUUGUAAAGCUCUUUUACCCGGGAUGAUAAUGACAGUACCGGGAGAAUAAGCCCCGGCUAACUCCGUG
rnacentral:rRNA from 1 species